rnacentral:tRNA from 1 species
GUUUCCGUGGUGUAGUGGUCAUCACGUCUGGUCUAACACACAGAAGGUUCCCCAGUUCGAGCCUGGCGGAAACA